AUUCAACCCAUUGGGUAUAUUUUAAAAUAGGAAACGACAGUUAAUGUUAAUAUACCAAUACUUAAAAUAUGAUCCAAUUUAUCCUUUAAACUGUUUACAAAUAGGAUAAAACAUUCUAGAUAUCAAUCCAAAAAUGGUCAGAGGAGUAGAGAGUUUUACGAGAUUACUUUAGGGGGCACAGAAGCAAAAAAAAUUCUCAAGACAGCUACUCUAGGGUGGAAUUGCUGGAUCUUAAUGUAUUGAAGGUAUUAAUCUUUAUGGGAUAAAGUCAAGUUAUUUCACAGGAUGAUUGUACCAAUUUACACUCUCUCCAGAAAUCCAUUUUCUUUGCUAAUAGGUCACUUGAAUUUACUAAUGAGUUAGCUGAAUUUCCCAGGAGUAGGAAAACAUUUCUUUUUGCCAACUCUUCAGUGUUCAUGGAGCUCUGCUCCUUGGUUAAUGCCAAAGGCAAGAGCUUCAUCAAUUUUGACCUUCAUGUAUUCACCAAGUGUUUUUGCAACCCCCUAGCUUUGGUUUACACCGUUCCCUCCCCUGGGAUGCCCUCUCCAUCCACCUGCCACCAGUCUAUCACCUAUGCUUCCGGUCUGAUCUUAAAUGUCAUUUCUUCGGAAAGUCUUUCCACAACCAUGCUCCCUAAAGUUUCCUAAUUCUCCACCACAGAACCCUGUAGAGUUUAUACGAGUUAGGAAUGAUAUAUUUGCUUCUUUGCUCAUAUGUUAUCUAUCUCUUCCACUGGAUUGUAAGCCCCUUGAAGGCAAGAACUGUAUCUGUUUUAUUCACCUACCUAUGCCCUAUCAUUUAGUAUAGCUCCUGAUACAUAGCAAAAUCUCCAUAAAUAUCUACUAAAUAAACAAAUGAAUGAAUUUUUUUCAGACUGAAGCAGACAUCAUCCCUAAUCCAGUCAUUGGUGGCUUUGAGCAGGAUGUGGCAGGUGUUUCCACGAAUAAAAAAAUGGCUCUGGUCCUGCUGUCACCACCCAGCACCCACCGAGUCUAUCCACAGCUUCUCUCACAGGCCAAGGGCCGCACCCCAGAUCUGGCCUGGCCUGGAAGGGCAGGAAAACAACAGGCAAAGAGGUAAAGAGAGCUGGAAGCCAAGCCUAGAUUUCUCCUGUAAACCUUGGGCUCCUUCAAAUACACCUCAGCUGCUUCAAACUGAACAGAUCUGACUCUCUGAGACCUCACCGAAAAGGUGAUCUUCUUUUUAUUCUAAGUGUCAGAGCUCUUUGUCUUUUACUUUCAUUCAUCAUUCUUAUUUUGAUAAUUUAACCUCAAAAAUUUAACCUCGGGGAUCCCUGGGUGGCGCAGCGGUUUGGCGCCUGCCUUUGGCACGGGGCGCGAUCCUGGAGACUCAGGAUCGAAUCCCACAUCAGGCUCCCGGUGCAUGGAGCCUGCUUCUUCCUCCGCCUGCGUCUCUGCCUCUCUCUCUCUCUCUGUGACUAUUAUAAAUAAAUAAAAAUUAAAAAAAAAAAAUUUAACCUCG
rnacentral:lncRNA from 1 species